GAAGAUGCAGGUCUUAAAGGACACCAGUUGCAGCUCAGAGUGGGCUCUUUUGGUUCCGGACUUAGCUGCAGAGAGAUCUGCCUUGCUGAGCUUCAAGGUUGGAUAUCAUCGUAUACUGUAAGUUGGAAUGAGACACUACAGUAUAGAUGAUGUACUACCUAGAGCUUCUUAUCCGACUGAUCCUUCCGUUCCCAAGCAAGAUCCAAGUUUGGGGGGAAUUAAUUUAUAGUGAGGACAGCAGAUUUGUAUCCUUUGUUCCAGAUCUUUCAAAGCUGGCUAUGAUGGCUCAGUGGAUAGGGGAAAGGCACUCUACAUAUGCUCAGAGACACCCUCUUUUUAUUCACAUGUUCUCGGCUGAGCCCUGGUGACAUUAGCUCACAUCCAAAGGUGCUCUGAGGAAUCGGGGAAGCAAGAGGGCAUAGUUAGGUCUGGGUCAGAAAAAGGACAGGAGAAUUGCUCUACAACCAGCUUCGGCCACUCUGCUUGAAGACAAAUCCCACGGGGUGUCAGCUAAACCGUUACCAUUACUGAGUUUAGUAAUGGUAAUGGUUCUUCCGCCACCCCGACCAGCGUCGGGCUGAAAUGAAGCAGGAAGCAGGGAUGUCAACAGCGCCCAGAGACCCUUCCUUUUCAGUUGGGCUGUGUCUUCUUUCCUUCUAUGUGGCUGUAAGAAAUAAAAGUUGAUCAGAUA